GUGACGAAUCAGGUGACCGAGGCACAAAACAUCUGCCGCUGCGGAGGAAACACACACGCACGCGUAGGUUCAACAACCAGCAGCACGUAGCGCCACAGGGAGCCCGACGCGUCAGUCUGUGGAUGUCUUACCAACUUGAACUAUGGCGGAGCCUGAGCUCAUUAUUUACACUUUACAAUUAUCGAACCCUAUUGACAGUUAGCAAGAUGUUCACAGAUUCCGACAUCAUUUUACCGAGCAAGUUCACGUUCCGCGAGCGAGCAAAUAUCGCGCGAGACAGACUUUUGCUCGCGGAUGUUUGAUUGACGCGCGCGCAUCAACCUGAUUUCUGCUCUGGAAUUUUGACAGUGAUUUGCUUCCAUAAUUCCAACGUCCUCUCUCCCUCUGAGGAUUCUGCUCCAGAGUCCACACCUCCGCCUCUAAUGGCCCCUCCCCCUACCUGUCCCACCUCCACACAUCCACACACACCUCCAAUGGCCC
ensembl:lncRNA